rnacentral:rRNA from 1 species
UACGGAGGGUCCAAGCGUUAUCCGGAAUCAUUGGGUUUAAAGGGUCCGUAGGCGGUUUGAUAAGUCAGUGGUGAAAUCUUUCGGCUCAACCGAGAAAUGGCCAUUGAUACUGUCAGACUUGAAUUAUUAGGAAGUAACUAGAAUAUGUAGUGUAGCGGUGAAAUGCUUAGAUAUUACAUGGAAUACCAAUUGCGAAGGCAGGUUACUAUCAAUAUAUUGACGCUGAUGGACGAAAGCGUGGGGAGCGAACAGG